GACGAACGCUGGCGGCGUGCUUAACACAUGCAAGUCGAACGGAAAGGCCCUGCUUUUGUGGGGUGCUCGAGGGGCGAACGGGUGAGUAACACGUGAGUAACCUGCCCUUGACUUUGGGAUAACUUCAGGAAACUGGGGCUAAUACCGGAUAGGAGCUCCUGCUGCAUGGUGGGGGGUGGAAAGUUUCGGCGGUUGGGGAUGGACUCGCGGCUUACCGGCUUGUUGGUGGGGUAGUGGCUUACCAAGGCUUUGACGGGUAGCCGGCCUGUGAGGGUGAACGGCCACAUUGGGACUAAGAUACGGCCCAGACUGCUACGGGAGGCAGCAGUGGGGAGUAUUGCACAAUGGGCGGAAGCCUGAUGCAGCAACGCCGCGUUCGGGAUGACGGCCUUCGGGUUGUAAACCGCUUUCGCCUGUGACGAAGCGUGAGUGACGGUAAUGGGUAAAGAAGCACCGGCUAACUACGUG
rnacentral:rRNA from 1 species